AGUGAACGCUGGCGGUAGGCCUAACACAUGCAAGUCGAACGGCAGCACAGUAAGAGCUUGCUCUUACGGGUGGCGAGUGGCGGGCGGGUGAGGAAUACAUCGGAAUCUACUUUUUCGUGGGGGAUAACGUAGGGAAACUUACGCUAAUACCGCAUACGACCUACGGGUGAAAGCAGAGGAUCUUCGGACCUUGCGCGAUUGAAUGAGCCGAUGUCGGGUUAGCUAGUUGGCGGGGUAAAGGCCCACCAAGGCGACGAUCCGUAGCUGGUCUGAGAGGAUGAUCAGCCACACUGGAACUGAGACACGGUCCAGACUCCUACGGGAGGCAGCAGUGGGGAAUAUUGGACAAUGGGCGCAAGCCUGAUCCAGCCAUACCGCGUGGGUGAAGAAGGCCUUCGGGUUGUAAAGCCCUUUUGUUGGGAAAGAAAAGCAGCAGGUUAAUACCCCGCUGUUCUGACGGUACCCAAAGAAUAAGCACCGGCUAACUUCGUG
rnacentral:rRNA from 1 species